AGUCCAAUAGGGAGGGCAUCGCAGGUGAUUGACAAGCACUGCGGUCCAACCUAUUGGUCAAU
rnacentral:pre_miRNA from 1 species